GGAUGUGAGGGUGAUCUGGCUGCGACAUCUGUCACCCCAUUAAUCACCAGGGUUGAUUCGGCUGAUCUGGCUGGCUAGGUGGGUGUCCCCUUCCUCCCUCACCGCUCCAUGUGCAUCCCUCCCGAAGCUGUGUGCUCGGUCGAAGAAGACGAGGACGGCCUUCCCCGAAUAGAGAUGGACUGGUUUUCGGUCAAGGUUAUAUGAGUAGCUGCUCUCCCCUGCUAGAACCUCCAAACAAGCUCUCAAAUAUGUCUUUUUAAAAGAAAGAAUACUCACUGUAGUAGAAAAAGUUGUUAGAGUUUAGUUAAUGGAAAAACCUGGGAAAGUGCAGAGAAGACUAUAAUGUAAGGUCUUAUGUU
ensembl:misc_RNA 7SK 7SK RNA